ACAUGUGGGGCAAGCGUUGUUCGGAAUUACUGGGCAUAAAGGGUGCGUAGGUGGUUUGUUAAGUCAGGGGUGAAAUCCCGCGGCCCAACCGUGGAACUGCCUUUGAUACUGGCGAACUUGAGUGCGUGAGGGGUAGGGGGAACGAGCAGUGUAGCGGUGAAAUGCGUAGAUAUUGCUCGGAAGGCCAGAGCCGAAGGGGCCCUACUGGUGCGCAACUGACACUGAGGCACGAAAGCGUGGGGAGCAAACAGGAUUAGAUACCCUGGUAGUCCACGCCGUAAACUAUGAGCACUAGAUGGGUGUCGAGCUAUCGAUGCCUGUCGGAGACAAUUUGGUAAGUGCUCCGCCUGGGGAGUAUGGUCGCAAGGCUG
rnacentral:rRNA from 1 species